GGGGAAGUGGUAUACAUGGUAGAACGCUAGCUUUGCAUGCUUGAAAACCGGGAUCGAUACCCGGCUUCUCCA
rfam:Polysphondylium pallidum PN500 unplaced genomic scaffold PPL_scaffold12, whole genome shotgun sequence.